UACAGAGGUCCCAAGCGUUGUUCGGAUUCACUGGGCGUAAAGGGUGCGCAGGUGGGUUUGCAAGUUCGAUGUGAAAGCCCCGGGCUUAACCCGGGAAUGGCAUUGGAUACUGCAGAUCUGGAGGAUCGGAGGGGGGACUGGAAUUCUUGGUGUAGCAGUGAAAUGCGUAGAUAUCGUUUGGAACGCCGAUGGUGAAAACAGGUUGCUGGGGCUGUGCUGACGCUGAGACACGAAAGCCAGGGGAGCGAACGGG
rnacentral:rRNA from 1 species